GGGGGUGGGGAAAGCGAAGAAGGAGGGAACGAAGGAGAGACAUUGAGGGGGGGCUAGAGUACCAUGAGAGGUACACUAGCCCCCCCUCAAUGUAGAGGUAGAUGUGAGGGGUCGAAGAUGUUGGGGGCGAUCUAGCGUACAGUUGAGUGCUGGGGGGCGGACAGACGGCGUAUUGCAAGAAGGGGGAGGAGGUCUGGCUGUAGAAGGAGGGGGGCAAAGGAGAGACAUUGAGGGGGGGCUAGUGUACCAUGAGAGGUACACUAGCCCCCCCUCAAUGUAGAGGUAGAUGUGAGGGGUC